rnacentral:rRNA from 1 species
GAUGAACGCUGGCGGCGUGCCUAAUACAUGCAAGUCGAGCGAACAGACGAUGAGCUUGCUCCUCUGACGUUAGCGGCGGACGGGUGAGUAACACGUGGAUAACCUACCUAUAAGACUGGGAUAACUUCGGGAAACCGGAGCUAAUACCGGAUAAUAUAUUGAACCGCAUGGUUCAAUAGUGAAAGACGGUUUUGCUGUCACUUAUAGAUGGAUCCGCGCCGCAUUAGCUAGUUGGUAAGGUAACGGCUUACCAAGGCGACGAUGCGUAGCCGACCUGAGAGGGUGAUCGGCCACACUGGAACUGAGACACGGUCCAGACUCCUACGGGAGGCAGCAGUAGGGAAUCUUCCGCAAAGGGCGAAAGCCUGACGGAGCAACGCCGCGUGAGUGAUGAAGGUCUUCGGAUCGUAAAACUCUGUUAUUAGGGAAGAACAAAUGUGUAAGUAACUAUGCACGUCUUGACGGUACCUAAUCAGAAAGCCACGGCUAACUACGUG